CUUGGCCUCCCAAAGUGUUGGGAUUAUAGGCAUGAGCCACCGCACCUGACCCUAGACAUUACUUUUAAAGGAUAUUUUACACUACUUUUUCAUCAGGAAAAGUUUAUCUUGAUAAAAUGUUUUUCUAAUUUUGUAACUUAAAGGAAAAUGUGUAACUAUUUUAAAGUAUAGAUAGUAAUAAUAAUCUUAUAGCUAAUUUUAAGACUCUGCCACUCAGGUGUUAUAAUUGUUAACUCCUUCUCACACAUUUGUUUUCUAACAUUAAUGAUGUGUGGCAGAGAUCAUCAGUUAUAUGCUGAUCAUUUGCAUUGUCAUAUCACCUAGGGCAAACUUCUCACACCUGUAACCUGGAAUGAUAAUAAUUUGUUUACUUCUUUAUCUUUUAGGACACUGUGGAAUAUGUAAAGGUUAGAACUUGGUUUAUAUUUCUAUUCCAAACAAAUGUUACAGAGUGUUUGAUAUUCAGUUAUUAGCCAAUAAAAUCUAGGAAGGCUCCUACAAGAAACAUUUAAAGGGUCUGGCAAGACCUAGGGCCCACCGCCACCCAUCCCCCAAAAUGUUUUGAGCAAAAUUAACACCCGUAUUAUUAUUGAAGAAUUAUGUAAAUUGUGUAUGUCAAAUUAUAAGUCAGAAAAUUGAAAUGUACACGUGGAAUAGUUAACAUCUUUUUGUUUCUACUAUUUCAGGCAAUGUCAUUUCCGAGAGGAACAUUUGUUACUGUGUGCAUGUUCUAUUAGUACUGUAAGCCCCUUUAUAUUAAGGCUGUGUUUAGUUUUUAUAUUCCCAUUAUGCCUGUUACCUAACAUUGCCAAGAAUACAAUAGAGGCUCAUUAAAAUUUUGAAUGCAUGAUCACUGUAUGUUGUUGUCAGCACACCCUCCCAACUCUCCCAUUAGAUGACAAGCAAUUUGAGGGUAGCACCCAAGUAUUAGUCAUUUUAAAAUUCUUUUCUCUUUCACACUCAAUACCGUGCCACAUGUAUAGUAGGUGCGUGUGUUGAAGGUUUUCAGGCGAAUACCCACAGGACUCUGAAUAUCGUUUUACUAAUGGUUAAAAUUUAUUAGAGUGACAUAGUAGAGGUGCAAGCCAGAUCAUAGGAGAAAAGAUACAGGUGGAGUUUGGAGGAGUCCAUUGGUAGGCUGCCUUAUGCUGUGUCCCUCCCACCAGGGGUCACAUAGAAUACUUUUUUCCUCCAGCAGUGAAAAUACAGCAAUAUAUGUGUGAUGCACCUGCCCAGGGAAGCCCAUUAGACAGUCAGUGCCCGAGGUUUUUAUUGGGGGCUGGUUACGUAGGCACACUCUCUUUAGCAUAUACCAAGAUUUCACACUCCCCAAAGUAAAGCAGAUGUUCAGUAUAGGCUGCAUUGUUUGUAUAAACAUGCAUAGUAAACCAUCUUUAUCAGCUAAAAGCAAUGGUAACACUCCCCAAAAUCCAAGUUCCCAGAUACCAGCCAAGGGCCAACUUUGCAUGCAAUCCUUUCUAUAAAUGGCAGUAGUAGGCUUGCUCUGUCUACUUUUCUGCAUAGCCUGGCUUUGUGUGAAUACUGCUUUGGGUUGGAGAACGAAACUGUAUGACAUUUCUUUCAGUACUUCAAACUAGUCUCAUGCUCAGUUUGUUAGGAAGAUUAAGAUUUCUUUUCUUUGUUAGAAGUGGCUCUAAUGUCUUGGUUGUUUUAAGAGCCUGUUUGUCGAUUUGCAUGAUUGCUAAAUUCUUUUUGAACUUUAUGAAUGUAUCAAAUAUACCUGAUCCCCACACUCCCUGCAACCAGAGCUUGAAAGCUUGCUGAAAGUACAGGUGCUUAAACAUGGGAAGAAAUGCCAGAUAUAAUAUGCACCUGAAGUAAAAGAAAUAAAUUAAAAAACAACAACUCCACAUCCUCUUGCAAAUACAGUUAUCUAGGCAUAGUCUCUGUUGAUUCCUGGUUUCAGGUAGUUGUUUGAGUUCCAUAUAAUAUUAUGUUGGCUUUUAUUCAGAUUGUGUGAUUUUCUUUAUUUUGGUUGGUGGGCCGGGGUAUUUAUAGUACAGGACCUAAGAAAGCAAUAAAGCAAAGAAAAAAGUGAGAAUUCUUAAAUAUCUGGGCAUAUUAUUGUAGUAUUACAUAUCCUAAAAUGUUCAAGAUUUAAUUUUUGAGCUGUUUAGAUGAAUCUCUGGAAGCAUGGUGAUUGUUAGAAAAUCAUCUUUGAUUACUGCUUUAUGUAGUUUUCUGUAAUAACACAUUUUCUGAUUGUAAAGGUUUCUAUCAAUUGGUCAUUACCUUGUGGGUUUUGGAAAAACAGUUAUGACUGCUUUAUAUUCAACAGAGGCCCCCUUAUCAGAAACACAGUAUUCUAACUGAUCUCAACAAUUUACAGUAUUGUCUUCAUUUUUGCAAAUAAAGGAGGAAAAAGACUCCUAUGUAUCUUAAAGAAUCGUGGGUGUCAGCUCAGGUUCUCACUCAAUUAAUCUUAUGUUUUGAAAAUUAAAAAAAAAAAUGAAAGGUGCUAUUGACAGUGCAGUGUGACAGCUAACAGCCGACAGAGGAACUAUAAAAAUAUAGUAGUCUUCAGUUAUUUCACAGAGAGAAAAACAGGCCCAGGCCCUUCAGUGGUUUUGGAGGGCAUUGCUGUAUUAUUAUACAGAAUAGAAAUUGAUCUUGAUGAGGCAUUAUCAAGAGGAGUUUCAAUGUACUCUUUAUCAGCGCUGUCUGUGUGUAAGAUUUUCAAAAAGUUUUCAUCAGGAAUGGUUAGCUUUUUCCCCCUUUUAAUUGUUUUUCAUGCUCGCUAUUGCCCCAUAUUUUAAUAUUUCUGAGAUUAAUUUCCAAAGAAAAUAAUUGGUCACCAAAUAUAUUGUUUUAAAAAGUGUUUUGUAUUUUUUGAGGCAAAGAAAUCUUGACACUUUGUGGACAAAGGGAAGGCAAUCAAUCGUUGAAAUAAGAUAAAAGAUACUUCCGGCUACUUGGGAGGCUGAGACAUAUGAGGAUCGCUUGAGCCCAGGCAUUGGAGGCUUCAGGGAGCUAUGAUCAUGCCACUGUCCCCCAGCUUGGGUGACAGUGAGACUCCUUUUUUUUUUUUUUGAGACUUCGUAAGAAGAAAAAAGGAUUAAAGAUACUUGAACCUUGGUGCCAUCCCAUGGAGAGGAUAAAAACCCUAUUUUUCAGAUUUCUGCAAUGCAGUUUUUUUGGCCAGCUGGCAGUUGUACUUGAUCAAGUAGGGGAGGGAUGGUGCUGGUUUUAUUAUAUGAUGGUCUAUUUCUGUCCUAGCAUGUUUGGUAGGCAAGCCUCCAGUAACAUUUACUGACCACUUACUGUGCUUGCCAGGCAAUGUGAUAAAUGUUUUUUUAUGGAUGACCUCAUUUAAUUCUCACUGUAAUCCUUUGGGGAGAUCAUUAUUAUCUCCAGCUUAGGAAGAGGCUGAAAUUCAGAGAAGUUAACUGACUUGCCCAGGGUUAGUUGUGCCUGAUGCUGAACUCUGAUGUCUUAAUUACUAUGCUGUGCUGCUUCCUACCCAACUGCGCUCUUUGGGUUUCAUGAUACGGUGUUUAGUAGGUUUGCCUCACUCUAUACAGGAAAACAGUGAAGAUUGUAGAUGUAAGAAUAUACAAGAAAUACUAAGUGGCUCCUUAUUUUUCUGAGAGCUUCUAGUAGGGGAAUCUACCUAUAAUAAAUGAAAUAUAGACCUAUCAUCCCUUACUUUUAUGUUCAGAACUGUGAAACAGAGUGUUGUUCCGUGAUAUUUACAGAUCUGUAUAUGGUUUUGUACAGUUAUACUUCCUGGAUUGUUUUGAUACUUUCUUACAAGCAGUCCUUGAUUGCUCCUUUUAUAGACAGUUUAUGUAACCUCGUGAACAAGAGUGCAUGGCCACCAUAAUGCCGGAGCUCUCCUUUGUUGUUUUUAGUGUCCUAGUGCUACUAAAGCAGGAAUGGUGGUCCUCCCCUCCUGACAAACAACUCCAUUUUCAGGGUUUCCUUCUGCCUCCAUCCUUCCCUGCCAGCAGUUGCAAGGGUAUUCAGAGCUUAGUACUUUUGUUAUUAUGGGAGUAUUUUUCAGGAUAGCCUUAGUAUUUAAGCAUUUUAUUUAAACUUAUUUUUCUUGUGAAAUAUGUCCUGGAGGGUUUUAUUUUUUUUGUCAGCUGAUUUAAAAACAGACUUUAGAAUAUAACCUGCUUAUAAAUUAGGACUGCUUGUAUAACACAUAGAGGUUUGAAGAUACUUUUUCUAUCAGAUUAGAUUGAAUAUUCUUAUUAAUUUGAAUCCUGUGAUAUAUGUGACAUUGUGUAUGCUGCAGUUAGUUUAACACUUCAGUUGCUAUGAAAGCAUAAUUUCAAUAGUAUGUAAAUUUAAUGUAACUUUGGAGACUUAGCGUUGGUUUGUUCAUUUUGAUGUUAAUUUAUUUAAAUUUUAGAUAUUUUAAAUUAGGUCUGUUUGUGUAGGCCUGGUAAUGUAUUUUAUUCCAAUGUCAUUAUAUUUCGAAAUUAAAGUUACUUUGAAAUAGGCUCCAAGGAGGUGUUAGUUGAAUUAUUAGUGAUGCAUUUGGAUGCACUGAAAAAGGUAUACUUGUCAAGGAAUAAACAUAAUGGAAUGGCAGUAGAAUCCCUUUAUAAUGCUGCUGUUACAUGGACACUACCUGUUAUGAGGACUGAUUUUGCGAUACCAUUUUACUAUAUAGAGUAAUAGUUUCAGGAGCAAUAGGUUUUUAAUUUAUUUUUAUUUU